AGGGAUGUAGCCAAGCGGCAAGGCACCAGACUUUGACUCUGGCAUUUCGUAGGUUCGAAUCCUGCCAUCCCUG
rnacentral:tRNA from 1 species